rnacentral:rRNA from 1 species
AUUGCACAAUGGGCGAAAGCCUGAUGCAGUCAUGCCGCGUGUAUGAAGAAGGCCUUAGGGUUGUAAAGUACUUUCAGUUGCCAGGAAAGUGUUAAAAUUAAUACUUUUAACAUAUGACGUUAACAACAGAAGAAGCACCGGCUAACUCCGUGCCAGCAGCCGCGGUAAUACGGAGGGUGCUAGCGUUAGUCGGAAUUACUGGGCGUAAAGGGCAUGUAGGCGGUUAAUUAAGUUGGAUGUGAAAUCCCUGAGCUUAACUUAGGAACAGCAUUCAAAACUAGUUAUCUAGAGUUUUGUAGAGGGGGGUAGAAUUCCAUGUGUAGCGGUGAAAUGCGUAGAGAUAUGGAGGAAUACCAGUGGCUAAAGCGGCCCCCUGGUCAAAAACUGACGCUCAUGUGCGAAAGCGUGGGGAGCAAACAGGAUUAGAUACCCUGGUAGUCCAUGCUGUAAACGAUGUCGAUUUGGAGGUUGUAAUUAUAAAUUAUGGCUUCCGUAGCUAACGUGUUAAAUCGACCGCCUGGGGAGUACGGCCGCAAGGUUAAAACUCAAAUGAAUUGACGGGGGCCCGCACAAGCGGUGGAGCAUGUGGUUUAAUUCGAUGCAACGCGAAAAACCUUACCUACUCUUGACAUCCAGCGAAAUUUUUAGAGAUAAAAAUGUGCCUUCGGGAACGCUGAGACAGGUGCUGCAUGGCUGUCGUCAGCUCGUGUUGAGAAAUGUUGGGUUAAG